UGUGGUUAUUUUGGUAUAGUAGCUCUAGACUCUUAUUAUAGUUUCCUGAGCUGCUGUACCAAAAUGCCACA
rnacentral:pre_miRNA from 1 species